GAUGAACGCUGGCGGCGUGCCUAAUACAUGCAAGUCGAGCGAACGGACGAGAAGCUUGCUUCUCUGAUGUUAGCGGCGGACGGGUGAGUAACACGUGGAUAACCUACCUAUAAGACUGGGAUAACUUCGGGAAACCGUAGCUAAUACCGGAUAAUAUUUUGAACCGCAUGGUUCAAAAGUGAAAGACGGUCUUGCUGUCACUUAUAGAUGGAUCCGCGCUGCAUUAGCUAGUUGGUAAGGUAACGGCUUACCAAGGCAACGAUGCAUAGCCGACCUGAGAGGGUGAUCGGCCACACUGGAGCUGAGACACGGUCCAGACUCCUACGGGAGGCAGCAGUAGGGAAUCUUCCGCAAUGGGCGAAAGCCUGCCGGAGCAACGCCGCGUGAGUGAUGAAGGUCUUCGGAUCGUAAAACUCUGUUAUUAGGGAAGAACAUAUGUGUAAGUAACUGUGCACAUCUUGACGGUACCCAAUCAGAAAGCCACGGCUAACUACGU
rnacentral:rRNA from 1 species